rnacentral:rRNA from 1 species
UAAACUAGGAUUAGAUACCCUAUUAUUUUACAUGUUAAUAUUUACCUGGGUAGUAAUAGUUAUUUUCUUUAAACCUAAAGAAUUUGGCGGUAUUUUAGUCUAUUCAGAGGAAUCUGUCCCGUGAUCGAUAGUCCACGUUUUAUCUUACUUAUUUUUGUAAUCAGUAUGUAUACCGCCGUUAUAAGUUUAUUUUAUUAGGAUUUUAAUUUACUUAGAAUGAUAUUUUAUUUUAUUUCAGGUCAAGGUGCAGUUUAUAAUUAAGUGGAGAUGGAUUACACUUUUAUUUGAAUAAACGGAUAUUGGUUUUAAAAGCUUAUUGAAGGUGGAUUUGAUAGUAAUAUUUUAAAUAUUGAUUAUUUGAUUAUAGCUCUAAAAUAAGUACACAUCG